rnacentral:hammerhead_ribozyme from 1 species
AUUAAUUUGACGAGUUCCAAAUAGGAUGAAAUGCGCAUCCUGGAU